AUUGAACGCUGGCGGCAGGCCUAACACAUGCAAGUCGAACGGUAACAGGAAACAGCUUGCUGUUUCGCUGACGAGUGGCGGACGGGUGAGUAAUGUCUGGGAAACUGCCUGAUGGAGGGGGACAACUACUGGAAACGGUAGCUAAUACCGCAUAACGUCGCAAGACCAAAGAGGGGGACCUUCGGGCCUCUUGCCAUCGGAUGUGCCCAGAUGGGAUUAGCUAGUAGGUGGGGUAACGGCUCACCUAGGCGACGAUCCCUAGCUGGUCUGAGAGGAUGACCAGCCACACUGGAACUGAGACACGGUCCAGACUCCUACGGGAGGCAGCAGUGGGGAAUAUUGCACAAUGGGCGCAAGCCUGGUGCAGCCAUGCCGCGUGUAUGAAGAAGGCCUUCGGGUUGUAAAGUACUUUCAGCGGGGAGGAAGGGAGUAAAGUUAAUACCUUUGCUCAUUGACGUUACCCGCAGAAGAAGCACCGGCUAACUCCGUGCCAGCAGCCGCAGUAA
rnacentral:rRNA from 1 species